rnacentral:rRNA from 1 species
UACGUAGGGGGCGAGCGUUGUCCGAAGUUACUGGGCGUAAAGCGCGCGUAGGCGGUCAUUUAAGUUCGGGGUGAAAGGUUCAACGCUCAACGUGAACAGUGCCUUGAAUACUGGGUGACUUGAGUUCGGGAGAGGGCAGUGGAAUUCCAGGUGUAGCGGUGAAAUGCGUAGAUAUCAGGAGGAACACCGAUGGCGAAGGCAGCUGCCUGGCCUAGAACUGACGCUGAGGUGCGAAAGCGUGGGGAGCGAACAGG